UAAGUGUUGAACUUGCACCACGCGAUGAAAGGGUGACACCAUUAUUACAAAUAGAAAUGGAGCCUCUAGCCUAAGGUGAUGGAUGGAUAGAGUGCACGUUCUAUAAGAGGACAUAUGGAGAUGGAAUGGAUGGAAGAUUCUCGUUGGAAUAUAGCUAGAUUUUUCGAUUUCAGUGGCCGGAACCAACUCCCGGAUUGCCUCCCAGCUCCAGCGUCUGCAGCACCGAACGAGAACAACCGCAGCACCGGACGGACUCCAUUGUCUCCCAGCUACAGCACCGACGGACGCAACCCCGUGAGAAUAAAAGGACCGUCGUGAAGGGCAGCACCGAAUGGAGCUUUUGGUUUUGGUACCGGACGGGAUUCAAGCACCGGACGAUUUGGAGCUGCAGCACCGAAUGAUUAUCUGAGCACCGAUAAAUCCUAGGCCAUCGUGCUCCUCUGUUUCUCUUUUUUUGUUUUUUUAUGCAUUUUCUAGAAAACAAGAACGGACUGGAUGGGAUUUUUCUUCUUUGAUGUUUGAACUCCAUUUUUUUUUUUUUUUUUUGAGAAUUCUCAAUGGUUGAUUGAAUUUCUGGAAUUUGAUUUUGGUGUAUUGAUUUGAUAAAAUUCUGAUGAACCACUCCGAGAAAUAUUGUUGCUG